rnacentral:rRNA from 1 species
UACAGAGACUGCAAGCGUUAUUCGGAUUCACUGGGCGUAAAGGGUGCGCAGGCGGUUGGGUGUGUCAGGUGUGAAAUCCCGAGGCUCAACCUCGGAACUGCGUCUGAAACUACUCGACUAGAGUACUGGAGAGGGUAACGGAAUUCACGGUGUAGCAGUGAAAUGCGUAGAUAUCGUGAGGAACACCAGAGGCGAAGGCGGUUACCUGGACAGUUACUGACGCUCAGGCACGAAAGCAUGGGGAGCAAAAGGG